rnacentral:rRNA from 1 species
UACGAAGGGGGCUAGCGUUGCUCGGAAUUACUGGGCGUAAAGCGCACGUAGGCGGAUUUGUAAGUCAGGGGUGAAAUCCCGGGGCUCAACCUCGGAACUGCCUUUGAUACUGCAAAUCUCGAGUCCGGAAGAGGUGAGUGGAAUUCCUAGUGUAGAGGUGAAAUUCGUAGAUAUUAGGAAGAACACCAGUGGCGAAGGCGGCUCACUGGUCCGGUACUGACGCUGAGGUGCGAAAGCGUGGGGAGCAAACAGGG